GACGAACGCUGGCGGCGUGCUUAACACAUGCAAGUCGAGCGGUAAGGCCUCUUCGGGGGUACACGAGCGGCGAACGGGUGAGUAACACGUGGGUGACCUGCCCUCAGCUCUGGGAUAAGCCUGGGAAACUGGGUCUAAUACCGGAUAUGACCUUUCCUCGCAUGGGGUUUGGUGGAAAGUUUUUUCGGCUGGGGGUGGGCCCGCGGCCUAUCAGCUUGCUGGUGGGGUGAUGGCCUACCAAGGCGACGACGGGUAGCCGGCCUGAGAGGGCGACCGGCCACACUGGGACUGAGACACGGCCCAGACUCCUACGGGAGGCAGCAGUGGGGAAUAUUGCGCAAUGGGCGGAAGCCUGACGCAGCGACGCCGCGUGGGGGAUGACGGCCUUCGGGUUGUAAACCUCUUUCGACCCCGACGAAUUUGGACGGUAGGGGUAGAAGAAGCACCGGCCAACUACGUG
rnacentral:rRNA from 1 species